GGAGAAGGUCCAUAGCUCAGUGAUAAAACAUCUGCUUUGCAUGCCAAAGGUCCCAGGUUCAAUCCCUGGCAUCUCCA
rnacentral:tRNA from 1 species